GACGAACGCUGGCGGCGUGGAUUAGGCAUGCAAGUCGGACGGUAGGGCUUUAUCGUAAGAUAGAGUUUGAGAGUGGCGAACGGGUGAGUAACACGUAGGAAUCUACCCUUAAGACGGGGACAACCCAGGGAAACUUGGGCUAAUACCGGAUGAGAGUGCGAGAGAUUGCAUUUAAAAGGAUGGCGAAAGUUGUCGCUUAGGGAUGAGCCUGCGGUCUAUUAGUUAGUUGGUGAGGUAAGAGCUCACCAAGGCGAUGAUAGAUAGGCGGCCUUAACGGGUGGUCGCCCACACUGGGAUUGAGAUACGGCCCAGACUCCUACGGGAGGCAGCAGUCGAGAAUAGUCUACAAUGGCCGGAAGGCUGAUAGUGCGACGCCGCGUGAACGAGGGAGCCCUUCGGGGUGUAAAGUUCUUUUGUCCGGAAAGAAAGCGCCGGGUUAAUACCCUGGUGUCCUGACGGUACCGGAAGAAUAAGCACCGGCUAACUUCGUG
rnacentral:rRNA from 1 species